rnacentral:rRNA from 1 species
ACACUCCUGCGGGAGGCAGCAGUGGGGAAUUUUGGACAAUGGGCGAAAGCCUGAUCCAGCAAUGCCGCGUGAGUGAAGAAGGCCUUCGGGUUGUAAAGCUCUUUUGUCAGGGAAGAAACGGUGAGAGCUAAUAUCUUUUGCUAAUGACGGUACCUGAAGAAUAAGCACCGGCUAACUACGUGCCAGCAGCCGCGGUAAUACGUAGGGUGCAAGCGUUAAUCGGAAUUACUGGGCGUAAAGCGUGCGCAGGCGGUUUUGUAAGUCUGAUGUGAAAUCCCCGGGCUCAACCUGGGAAUUGCAUUGGAGACUGCAAGGCUAGAAUCUGGCAGAGGGGGGUAGAAUUCCACGUGUAGCAGUGAAAUGCGUAGAUAUGUGGAGGAACACCGAUGGCGAAGGCAGCCCCCUGGGUCAAGAUUGACGCUCAUGCACGAAAGCGUGGGGAGCAAACAGGAUUAGAAACCCGGGUAGUCCCA